rnacentral:rRNA from 1 species
GACGAACGCUGGCGGCGUGCCUAACACAUGCAAGUCGAGCGAACAGACGAGGAGCUUGCUCCUCUGACGUUAGCGGCGGACGGGAGAGUAACACGUGGAUAACCUACCUAUAAGACUGGGAUAACUACGGGAAACCGGAGCUAAUACCGGAUAAUAUAUUGAACCGCAUGGUUCAAUAGUGAAAGACGGUUUUGCUGUCACUUAUAGAUGGAUCCGCGCCGCAUUAGCUAGUUGGUAAGGUAACGGCUUACCAAGGCAACGAUGCGUAGCCGACCUGAGAGGGUGGUCGGCCACCCUGGAGCUGAGACAGGGUCCAGACUCCUACGGGAGGCCGCAGUCGGGAAUCUUCCGCAAUGGGGGAGAGCCUGACAGAGCAACGCCGCGUGAGUGAUGAAGGUGUUCGGAUCGUAAAGCUCUGUUAUUAGUGAAGAACAAAUGUGUAAGUAACCGUGCACGUAUUGACGGUACCUGGUCAGAAAGCCCCGGCUAACUACGUG